GAACAUUGUGCAGGUGGGGGAGAGGGUGUAAACUACGUGGAGUGAAGUCUUCCUUUCUUCUUCUUCUUCUUUUUUCGGGGGGGGAGGGAGGGUUCGUGCUACACUGGAAAGUACAAUGAAAACAAUGGAGCAAGGCUGAGAGAGUCGACUAAACCAAACCUCGACCCCCGAAUACGCGCCUGUGUAUCGUUAUAACGUUUCAUAUUUCGUCAGCGUCAUCGAAUUUGAGGAACUGUCCCCCACUCCUGGCAGGCGUCCUCCUUGUUACGAGUUACUAUGGAAACAGAUAGCAGACUGCAGCAUCACGGGCUGUCCACCAGGGAAAGUCUGCUGUUCUAACUGGUGUGGCGGAUCCAAUUGUAUAAAUCCAUAUACAGGACUCAAAUAUAUGUGCCCUCAUAGCUACUGUUCCCGUCAUGCUCGGUCGUUUCCGGCACAUUACAACAGUUGUUCCAGUGACGCCGACUGUCGAGCCGAUAAAGGGUUGCUAUGCUGUAUGGUGAAGUGCCGCAAACAGUGUGUCCGAGGCGUGACGAUUGCCUACCCAUUGGGUUGGUCUUAAACUGUUGUGUAAAGAAUGCACUGGAAACAACAACAUUCUCGUACACGAAACUAAAGCUUUAUUUUAUUGAAAUAACAGUUUUGUUUAACGACAGCACUAGAACAGGCUGAUUAAUUAAUAGUUGGCCACUGGAUGUCAAACGAAGCGCCUGGUUUUUAUAUAUAUACUGAUGGAAAGAAAUAAGGGAACACAUGGAAUUGUAGACCAAAUUUAAUUCACUACUAGCGUAAUAAUGUCUGUAUUUCAUACCAAGUUGUAACGUGGGAUUGAAUGUCUGCAGUAUUGAAUGUGCUGCAUAUAUGUUCCCAGUCAACUUCUGACAAUAUGAAUUGAUUUUUAAUGCAGUCAUUAUUUCUUGUUGCUAUCUGUGUGAUCCUUUAUUUAUUUCUGUCAGUAUAUUAUUUGAACUAUUGGCUUUGACUAUUUUAAUGGCUGUAAUCUUUUGGUACAGAAGGAUUUUUCAAAUUUCACAAUCUGUAUAUUUUCAUAGUAUGUUGAAGUAACUAUCUCAAACAAGCAACUCCUAUAUAUAUCGUUAUUUUUACAUCGUUUUUAUAAUUAAAUUCAGUGGCGUAGCGAGUGGGGGGGGGGGGACGGGUCACGGGGCCAAGGACACACCCCGUCAGACUUUUUUUUUUUUUUUUUACUGUAUUAAAUUUGUUUAAAUCUUAAAUACAUACAUGCAUACAUAGUUGGCUUUAUUCAAAUAAAUCGAAUACAAGCAUAAUUAUACUCAAAGAGAGAAACAAGGGAUCAACAUUACCAGAAAGAUUGACUACCACCAAAGCCCACACCACCAUUGACAUUAAACUCUCAUUAGUGACAUUCAGUCGCACAUUACAUCUUAAUAUUUUAUACAGUCACCACGACGCUAUAGGUAAUAUUUACUACCGCCCUCGGUGGUAUCUUGGUUAAAAUAUCGGACAUAAGGCUGGUAGGUACUGGGUUCGCAGCCCGGUACCGGCUUCCACCCAGAGCGGGUUUUAACCACCCAAUGGGUAUGUGUAAGACUACUACACCAUCUUCUCUGUCACUAACAA